GACGAACGCUGGCGGCGUGCUUAACACAUGCAAGUCGAACGGUGAAAGCGGAGCUUGCUCCGCUGGAUCAGUGGCGAACGGGUGAGUAACACGUGGGCAACCUGCCCCUCACUUCGGGAUAACUCCGGGAAACCGGGGCUAAUACCGGAUAUGACCUCCUUGGGCAUCCUUGGAGGUGGAAAGUUUUUCGGUGAGGGAUGGGCCCGCGGCCUAUCAGCUUGUUGGUGAGGUAGUGGCUCACCAAGGCGACGACGGGUAGCCGGCCUGAGAGGGCGACCGGCCACACUGGGACUGAGACACGGCCCAGACUCCUACGGGAGGCAGCAGUGGGAAUAUUGCGCAAUGGGCGAAAGCCUGUCGCAGCAACGCCGCGUGCGGGAUGACGGCCUUCGGGUUGUAAACCGCUUUCAGCAGGGAAGAAGCCGCAAGGUGACGGUACCUGCAGAAGAAGCACCGGCUAACUACGUGCCAGCAGCCGCGGUAA
rnacentral:rRNA from 1 species